AUUGAACGCUGGCGGCAGGCCUAACACAUGCAAGUCGAACGAGUGGCGGACGGGUGAGUAAUGUCUGGGAAACUGCCUGAUGGAGGGGGAUAACUACUGGAAACGGUAGCUAAUACCGCAUUCCAUCGGAUGGGCCCAGAUGGGAGUAGCUAGUAGGGGGGGUAACGGCUCACCUGGGCGACGAUCCCUAGCUGGUCUGCGAGGAUGACCGGCCACACGGGAACUGGAACACGGUCCAGACUCCUACGGACGGCAGCAGUGGGGAAUAUUGCACAAGGAGCGCAGGCCUGAUGCAGCAAUGCGGCGUGUAGGAAGAAGGCCUUCGGGUUGUAAAGUACGUUCAGCGGGGAGGCGUUACCCGCAGAAGAAGCACCGGCUAACUCCGUGCCAGCAGCCGCGGUAAUUC
rnacentral:rRNA from 1 species